GACGAACGCUGGCGGCGCGCUUAACACAUGCAAGUCGAACGGAAAGGCCUGCUUUCCCUUGUGGAUUGCGGGUACUCGAGUGGCGAACGGGUGAGUAACACGUGAGUGAUCUGCCCCCAACUUGGGUAUAAGCCUGGGAAACUGGGUCUAAUUCCCGAUAGGACUGCAGGGUGGUGCCUGUGGUGGAAAACGAUUUUCUAGUGGUUGGGGAUGAGCUCGCGGCCUAUCAGCUUGUUGGUGGGGUAAUGGCCUACCAAGGCGGCGACGGGUAGCCGGCCUGAGAGGGUGGACGGCCACAUCGGGACUGAGAUACGGCCCAGACUCCUACGGGAGGCAGCAGUGGGGAAUAUUGCACAAUGGGCGGAAGCCUGAUGCAGCGACGCCGCGUGGGGGAUGACGGCCUUCGGGUUGUAAACUCCUUUCGACCGCGAGGAAGCCACCUGGUUGGAAGGGUGGUGACGGUAGUGGUAGAAGAAGCACCGGCUAACUACGU
rnacentral:rRNA from 1 species